rnacentral:sRNA from 1 species
AGGUAAGUUGUUCUACGUCUCAAUGGCAUUUUAGCGCACGGCUCUCUAACAGAGCCAUUUUCCCUAGGCCGGGUUGAGGAAUAAGCUCGGCCUUUUUUU